UGUCCCUCCGCCGUGCUAUCCUGCCUUGGAGCCAGCUGACAAUGGACUGAAACCUCUACAAACUAUGGGGUCUUGCUAUGUCACCCAGGAUGGUCUCAAAUUCCUCGGUUCAAGUGAUCUUCCUGCCCAAGUCUCCGAGUAGCUGGAAUGACAGUCAUAUAAAGAUACAAGAAGAAGAUGGCUGUCUGCAAAUCAGGAAGACUGACCUCACCAGACAUUGGAUCUGCUGGUUGUACCUGGAUCUUGAACUUCCCAACCUUCAUAUGUAUGAGG